AAAACACUUUUGAAAAAAAAGUACUUAUCAAAAUAAGUUGAUUGUUGCAGCUUGGCCAAACGGGCUAAUAGUAUACUAAGCCACUGACUUUGAAGGCCAAUGGGAAUGGAUACUAACCUGCCAAUUACUCCCUCCGGUCCAAAAUAAGUGAUUUUUUGGUUGGUUUCACACAUAUUAAGAAAUUCAAUUUUUAACAUUAAUUAGCAAUGAAAUAGAUCAUAUUAACCUUUACUAUCUCUUCACAUAAACACUCCUAAUACAUACUCCAACAUUAGUUACUCCAGGGGCAAUGAAGGAAAAAAAUAAUAAUUCAUUCUUGAAAUCUAGAAAAAUCACUUAUUUUGGACCAAAAGUAAAAAGCCAAAAAAUCACUUAUUUUGGACCGGAGGAAGUAGCUGUCUACCUGUACUAAUAAUAUUAUAAAUAAUUCUUCCAUUGACUUUUGGUAGCAUUUAGAUCCAAUCCAAUAUACAUUUAAUGUAAGUUUGAUUGAACCAAUAAUUAUUCAUUCACUGAUCUUGUUAGAGUAUGCUUCCUUAUGUGAGAAGACCCUAUAGACUGAAACCUUUCAUACUUCCAAUCUUUAUGCUGAUAUUAAUCUUCACUUGUCAUUAAUUACAAGUUUUCUCCUACUGUAAACUUUGGUCUUUGUCAGGUAUAUAUUUCAAUAAUUUUUUUCUAAUCACACUUGACACGUUAUUUUGGUCAUGCAUUUAGUUAGAUGUGAAGAUCUUUGUAACUUAUUUUGUUGAUCUGAUCGUUCUUGUGACUUUUUUCGAUUGCUUUUUGACCCUCGACUUCUUUUUCCCUUUGCUGGAACGUAACCUACUAAGCGUUUUAAUUAUACUAACAACUCUUUUUGCUCCUUUACAGGAUCAUAAAAUUGAAGACAUACAAAUCUCUAAGCGCAUAUAAAACAAUUCUGACUAAAUCUUAAANACUACAAAAUCUACACCUAAGGUAAGUGUACCAUGACCAAAUAUUUUCCUAACUAGUUGGUAUUGUCUAUACGGAUUUUAAGGGAUUGUAAGUUGUUCAAUACGACUUCCUUCCUCUUGAUGUUAGGUCUACCUUGUCAGAGCCGUACACAUGAAUUUUUUAUAAGCGGCAUCACAUUUAAAAAAGUGAGAAAUGAGAUUCUCGACAUUGCUACAACCUUGGUUCAUCCGCCCGGGUAUAAACCUUAUACUUAAAAAUACCCCCCCCCCCCCCAAUUAAUGAAAUUUUUUAUAAGCGGCGUCACAUUUAAAAAAGUGAGAAAUGACAUUCUCGACAUUGCUUCAACCUUGGUUCAUCCGCCCGGGUGUAAACCUUAU
rnacentral:lncRNA from 1 species